rnacentral:rRNA from 1 species
CGGUAAUUCUAGCUCCAAUAGCGUAUAUUAAAAUUGUUGCGGUUAAAACGCUCGUAGUUGGAUAUCUGCCAAGGGGUUCCGGUCCUCCCCAGUGGAGAAUACACGGAACUCUUCUUGGCAUUUGUUCAGGGAAGGUGUUUGCACUUUAUUGUGUGUCACAUGAUCUGAAUUUUUACUUUGAGGAAAUAAGAGUGUUUCAAGCAGGCUUUUGCCGUGAAUAUGAUAGCAUGGAAUAAUAGCACAGGACCCCUUUCCGAAGCUGUUGGUUUUUGGAACGAGGUAAUCAAAAUAAGGAUAGUUGGGGGUAUUCGUAUUUAACUGUCAGAGGUGAAAUUCUUGGAUUUUUUAAAGACGAACUAUUGCGAAGGCAUCUGCCCAGGAUGUUUUUGUUGAUCAAGAACGAAAGUUAGGGGAUCGAAGACGAUCAGAUACCGUCCUAGUCUUAACCUUAAACUAUGCCGGCUGGAGAUUGGAGUCGUCAGAUUUUGACGUCUUCAGCAUCCUGAGAGAAAUCUAAGUCUUUGGGUUCCGGGGGGAGUAUGGUCGCAAGGCUGAAACUUAAAGGAAUUGACGGAAGGGCACCACCAGGAGUGGAGCCUGCGGCUUAAUUUGACUCAACACGGGAAAACUUAUCAGGUCCAGACAUAAUGAGGAUUGACAGAUUGAGAGCUCUUUCUUGAUUUUAUGGGUGGUGGUGCAUGGCCGUUCUUAGUUGGUGGAGUGAUUUGUCUGGUUAAUUCCGUUAACGAACGAGACCCCAGCCUGCUAAAUAAUCACGCGAAUGAUUCUUCAUUGGCGAUGGUUUCUUAGAGGGACAUGUUCGAACAACGAACAGGAGGAUUGGGGCAAUAACAGGUCUGUGAUGCCCUUAGAUGUUCUGAACCGCACGCGUGUUACACUGAUGCAUUCAACGAGCUAUUAACCUUGGCCGAGAGGCCUGGGAAAUCUUGGAACGUGCAUCGUGAUAGGGAUUGAUUAUUGCAAUUUUUAAUCAUGAACGAGGAAUUCCUAGUAAACGCAGCUCAUCAAUCUGCAUUGAUUACGUCCCUGCCCUUUGUACACACCGCCC